GACGAACGCUGGCGGCGUGCUUAACACAUGCAAGUCGAACGGUGAAGCUCCAGCUUGCUGGAGUGGAUCAGUGGCGAACGGGUGAGUAACACGUGAGCAACCUGCCCCUGACUCUGGAAUAAGCGCUGGAAACGGCGUCUAAUACUGGAUACGAGAAGGGUCCGCAUGGGCACUUUCUGGAAAGUUUUUCGGUUGGGGAUGGGCUCGCGGCCUAUCAGCUUGUUGGUGAGGUAAUGGCUCACCAAGGCGACGACGGGUAGCCGGCCUGAGAGGGCGACCGGCCACACUGGGACUGAGACACGGCCCAGACUCCUCCGGGAGGCAGCAGUGGGGAAUAUUGCACAAUGGGCGAAAGCCUGAUGCAGCGACGCCGCGUGAGGGAUGACGGCCUUCGGGUUGUAAACCUCUUUCAGCAGGGAAGAAGCGAAAGUGACGGUACCUGCAGAAGAAGCACCGGCUAACUACGUG
rnacentral:rRNA from 1 species